CCGGCCGUGGGGAGCGGACGCAGUGAUUUGCUCCCCCUCGUGCAGCAACCCCCACACCCAGCACCAGGCCCCCAGAACUCUCCUUCCAGCUGAACUCCCUGGGAACAAGUCAGUUGGGCUGAUCACUGAACUCACAUUUCUGGACCUGAGCCUGUUCCUCUCACGCCCUCACCUGGCUGAGCCGCAGUAGUUCUUCAGUGGCAAGCUUUAUGUCCUGACCCAGCUAAAGCUGCCAGUUGAAGAACUGUUGCCCUCUGCCCCUGGCUUCGAGGAGGAGGAGGAGCUGCUUUCCCCAUCAUCUGGAAGGUGACAGAAAUGGGCUGGGAAGGUCCGAACAGCAGGGUGGAUGAUACGUUUUGGGCAAGUUGGAGAGCCUUUGCCCAGAUUGGCCCAGCAAGGAGCGGUUUUAGAUUAGAGACACUGGCUGGAUUGAGGAGUAGAAGGCUCAAACAACCCAAGGCUUUCUGCCUCCGAGAUGUGGCACCAUAGUGCGGUGCCCUGUGGCUUCACCGCCCUACUUCCACCUCCGCCCAGCCUGUAAUGUUUAUAUAAGCAGCCUCAAGGACCAAGAACCAUCUGCGAAAGGACACACACAGGAAAUUCAUAAAAGAAAUCUGAAUGGAUAAAACCAUGAAAAAAAGUAUGCUUCAUUAGUAAUUAAAGAAAGGCAAAUAGAGCUGGAAGCAUUUUUCCCUUAGCAAACCAUAACAGAAAAAAAUAAGACCCAAUAUUGGCAAAGAGACUACUGAAAAAACAUUCCCAUACAUUGCGUGUGGGAGUAUACAUCGGUGCAGGCUUCCUGGAUGACAGUUGGGUGAUAUGUGUCAUGUGGCCUAAAAGCCUCCAUGUCAUUUGACCUACGAAUUCUAUCUUUGGGAAUUUAUCCUAAGAAAAUACUUAAGGAUUUAGUUAGUGAUAAGAUGUUCAUCCCAGCAUUGCAAUGGAGAAAAAUGGGAAGCAAUGGUUUGGUUGGGAAUUUAUUCCUUUUCUGCUGUAACGAAAGUUUGCAAUAGGGGAUUGCUUAAGUAAAUUAUUGUAUCUCCAUCCAGAUGGUGGAGUACCGCGCAGACAUUAAAAGUCAUGUAAAAGAACAUCUGACUGAAAGAAAAAUGCUCCUUGAAUAUUAAAAGGUUGU
rnacentral:lncRNA from 10 species